GAUGAAGAACGCAGCGAAACGCGAUAGGUAAUGUGAAUUGCAGAAUUCCGUGAAUCAUCGAAUCUUUGAACGCAUAUUGCGCCCUCUGGUAUUCCGGCGGGCAUGCCUGUUCGAGCGUCAUUUCAACCCUCAAGCCCCCGGGUUUGGUGUUGGGGAUCGGCUCUGCCCUUCUGGGCGGUGCCGCCCCCGAAAUACAUUGGCGGUCUCGCUGCAGCCUCCAUUGCGUAGUAGCUAACACCUCGCAACUGGAACGCGGCGCGGCCAUGCCGUAAAACCCCAACUUCUGAAUGUUGACCUCGGAUCAGGUAGGAAUACCCGCUGAACUUAAGCAUAUCAAUAAGCGGAGGA
rnacentral:misc_RNA from 1 species